rnacentral:rRNA from 12 species
GCAGCGAUGAAGGACGCCGUAAAAUGCCGCUUCCUUUGUCAGUUGCGCUGUAUUCCUACUUCAUCAACAAACUUCUGACGGAAGCGGCAGUUUCGUCUGCCCCUUUGAUCAC